GCUGUUAAGGGUUCGUAGUUGAAUUGGGGGCUGACCGAGUAAGCGGUGGCGUCUUGCCCUUCGGGGGGGCUCAACCACCGUUCUCGCAGCUCGUGAACAUUCGAAACAAACAUCGCGGAUCGUAAUCUUCCCUAUUUUCGCGUGCAAUGUACGCAGGGGGACGUCCGUGUUUAUUACUGUGCAAAAGAAGGGUGACCAAAGCAGUCAUUCGACAUGAAUUAGAAAGCAUGGGAUAACAAGGAGCGGCCUACGGGCUUCCAUUUAUGGCUUUUGUUGGUUUUAAAGGUCUGUGGGAGUUGUGGACCCGCAAGACCGGGCGCACGGGAGCUUCAUCGUUCCCGACGUCCUUCUGCGUUGGCGCGGCCUUCACAGACUUGCCGGGUCCAGGAAUGAAGGAGGGUUGUUCGGGGGAGACGUACUUGAGCGUGAGAGGUGAAAUUCUUAGACCGCUCAAAGACGAACUACGGCGAAGGCUUCUCCAAGGAUACCUUCAUCAAUCAAGAACUAAAGUG
rnacentral:rRNA from 1 species